ensembl:lncRNA
AUGCAAACUUACACUCUAACAUGCUCUUCUAAUUCCCUUUCAGACAGUGACUUAAAAGGAAAUCCUCUGGCUUACUGUUACACAGACAAGGUCAGAGUUACACCAUGUACUUCUUUCUGCACCUGGCAGCCUCGCAGGAAUGAGUGCCAAAAAACGAGUGCAGACAGCUCUAGCAGCAGCUAUCCACACUGUGAAUGUCUCUGCACGGGGGUCCAAGUUGGAAGGCAUCUCAAGCUGCAACCUGACCCAUUUAUGCAUGGUCCAAGCUGUAAGUAUUGCCGCCAUCAGGAAAGCUGCAGCCAACGUCAGCACCAGCACAGAGCCUGUCCGUGUUCAGCUGAGCUCUGGGAGGAUCCCCAGCGAGCACCGAGGCCACCAUGGGGAAAGAGUUUAAAUAAAUAAAAACAGAUCGUGUUGGUAUCUAACAUCUAACUUUUGCCUUACACGCAGCUCUACCUUGCUGACUCAUAAGCACAUACAGCCACAUAUUUACCUGAAAUCGUCCAAAAAGAAGUUUAAAAAAUAUAUAGAAGAAACUGAUCAUCAAAUUAUAACCUGUGAAUGGAAACAGCUGAAAUCUGUAAAAUGGGAACAUAAAAAUGUAAUGUAAAAAAGUUGCUUUACGCUACAUUGGAAACAAACAAAAAAACGCAUCGGGCAAGGCUGGGUCCACAUCCCAAAAAGCUGCACUGACUGCAGGCAGUGGCCAAGCUUAGCUGAGUAUUCUGAUGCCAUACAGCCAUGUCUGUUUUCUCACUAAGGCAAACACACACCAGUACCACAAGCAGCCUGACAAGCUGCGACAGGAACACGAGUGGUACCGCUCAGAGAUACCGUCUGUAAAACAAGAAGAGUGAACUAUGACAUUCAAGUGAGAGAUGCACUGUACAGUACUGCUAGGUAACAGAAAGAUCACACAGGGCCCAAGGGAGAGUACUGAGUAUGUUGCAAGACUGGCACAGGCUUCCCUAUGGUUUCAUUACUCCAGUAUCUUAAGUUCCACCGAACCAGCCCACAAGGAGCCAUCCUUCCCUUGCUGUGCAGGGGAGCUUCCUUGAGAACCUCUCCCAGGCAAAUGUGGGAACCUGCUAGCAAAUACUUUUAAUAUUUGUGUUUGUUGGGAUCAUUCCCUGAACGAGAGAAAUGCUUUCCUUUGCUCACGCUGUCCCUGGCAUCCUUCAUCAUCAGACAGAGCACUUCACACUUGCCACGUGCUGUUUCUUUCUGGAUAGAAAGGGGAUGUACUGAGCUGGUCAAAACAAAGCAAAAGCAAUUUUUUGGUUAGUUUGUUUUUUUGUAAUUUUAACAUGGUGUUCCCUGGAGGUUAUCUCACGGAAUGGAAACAGAACAGCACACUCAUGGAAUGGGCUCAGUGCUGCAGGCACUCACUGCUCCCACUCGUGCCGCAGUCCCUGGCCGAUGCCCCAGGCCUCUGUGCAGCCACACAGCCCAUUGUUGUGGCUGGGAGUUGUCCAAGCACACUUGGUACCACCUGCUGCAAAUUCUUCAUUCCUUGUUAUCUCUGCAGCAGCUCUCAGCCUUUCAAAAGCUAGUUCCAUGAAGAAAGAGGAAAGGACAGUUUGUGCUUGAUAUUUAACCUGCAAUUCUGUUUUCCAGAAAUUCUACAGAUUAAUGGCUUUGAUUAUAUUUUAAGAACUCCCAGUGUGACACAACGAACUAUCAGCUCCUGCUGCUAUCCUCUAUAGAAGGCCAAACUCUGUGCUGUUAGGUUGCUUGAUCAGCAGUAUAAAUCCAACGCAGUGCCAAAGACUGCAAAGGAACAGCUUUCCCGGCAGGUAACAAGGCUUCUCUGGAGCCAUGGAAAUAAGAGAACAGAAGUUCAUCACAGCUGUCUGCACAAACAACAAGCUGCCCAGCACAGUGCAGACUGCAGCAUUUCUCUGUUUCUCCCUCUGCUGAGAACACACACUUUUGGUACUGAGGAUGCCAUCGGAGAAGCAGUGAGGGAUGUAACAGAGACAGCAAUUGUAGCACUGCUACAGGAACAGCUGAAUUUAUAUUCCUAACCAAGAUUUACUACAACUCACUGUAGCUGCCAGACACAACUAUUACAAAGGACUGUACAAGUUUAACAUCUGUGAACACACAUAGAUUGCUACAGCCAGCAGGUCAGGCUAUGGACCCCAACUACCCAGUGGGAAACUGGAAUGCUUCACAGUUAAAGGAAAAUCAGAGUUCAAGCCUUGAUCUAAAUGUCACCCAACCCGCUGCAAAUCCAAAAAUAGAGCUGAACCACUCAAAUUCACACUUAAUUGGCUGUACAGGCAGGCCAGCCAUUUUAAUUAUGGCACAGUAUUUACAGGGUAAUCACCAAGCAAAGGAAAACCUUACUAUGCUUUGGGCAUCUUUAAGCUGAUAAUAAAAGUAACAGUACAAUGCUGCUGGGAGAACA